rnacentral:rRNA from 1 species
AUGCUUCCGUACAACAUAUUCAAUGCUACCGAAAAUACUUCCAGCGAUGACCAGUUGUAUAGGGAAGGUGGAAGCAUACCGGAGAUGUUGUUUCUAGAGAUGCCGAAUUGCUGCAUGUUGUGGUUGCUUCCGAGGCUUGAUGGGAUUGAGCCCACGAGCUGGUUAGUGGUGAGAUCGAGGUAUUGUAGAUGGGACAGAUUGCCAAGUGACGGCGGGAUGAGCCCUGUGAAGCUGUUGUUUCUCAGCGAGAUCACUGCCAGGGAUGUGAGCUUCUCGCCGAGCUCAGCCGGGAUGCGCCCGCCAAGUUGGUUGUUGCGCAGUCUCAGCUUGGUCAUGCUGAUGCAGGAGCUCAGGUUUACAGGGAUUUUUCCAGAGAAGGAGUUGUCGCUCAAGUCAAGCUUCAGCAGACGGCGGAGGCGGCCGAGGCUCGCUGGAAUCUCCCCGUGGAGCCGGUUGAAGCUCAGGUUGAGCGUCCGCAGGAACGAGAGGUUCCCGAGGGCUGGGGAGAGUGCUCCGGCGAGCCCCCUGCCAUCCAAGCUCAGCUCCACCACCCUUGAGGGCCUCCAGCGGCUGCACAUCACCCCUUCCCAGCUGCAGAAGCCGGCGCUGCUGUUCCAGGAGGCCAGCGAGCCGGCAUCACUGACCUGCGCUUUGAAAGCAAGCAGCGCGGCCUCGUCACCAGCGCUCACUGUGGCGGUCAUCAGAGCGACUACCAGUGACCAUAUGAAGCUCAUUAUCCCCAUGGUCAUGCCCAUGCUGGUUCCAGACUUUUACGCACUCCUCUUUUGA